CAAAAUAUGGCGUGUAGAAUCUUUCUGCCAUGACAUUUGUUGGGGGAGUAAAUUAUCCAGAUUCUGAAGCCUGGCCUCUUUAUAUAUUUCAGCUUGCCUUCUAUUGGAAUAGUAAGGGUUGAUUACAAGGCCAUUCUGAGGAUUUCGAGUUGCGAGAAACGGAUUUUGACGAUUUGGAUUUGUCGUCCAUGCAUUUGGAUUUUCAGGCGGAAACUUUUUAAAAAAGUUUCCUAAUUGGAUAGGAAGCCGUUCCAAAGCUUCCUUGGUAAAGACUGGCAUGAUAAGGUUAAAACCUCUUUAAUCUAUAGAGAAGCUCAAAAAGACAGUGAGUCAAGCACUAUUAGUAUUAGAAAAUACAUUGACCUAAGAUGUCGGCAAACGUUUAACUGCGCUAUAUUACGUUAAAUCAAUCAUUACUGUUCAUUCUUGAGUUCUUAAUCGAAACUUUUCAUCGUUUGAAAUAUUAAAAGAGUUUAUUAUCUCAGACAAUUCUAAGCCAAUUUAUUGACUAUUAGCGUUUAUUAGGUCGGACUAAUUCU